UACGUAGGUGGCAAGCGUUGUCCGGAAUUAUUGGGCGUAAAGGGCUCGUAGGCGGUUUGUCGCGUCGGGAGUGAAAACCUCGGGCUUAACUCGGGGCUUGCUUUCGAUACGGGCAGACUAGAGGUAUGCAGGGGAGAACGGAAUUCCUGGUGUAGCGGUGAAAUGCGCAGAUAUCAGGAGGAACACCGGUGGCGAAGGCGGUUCUCUGGGGCAUGAUCUGACGCUGAGGAGCGAAAAGUGUGGGGGAGCGAACAGG
rnacentral:rRNA from 1 species